rnacentral:rRNA from 1 species
GCGGCCUAUCAGCUUGUUGGUGGGGUGAUGGCCUACCAAGGCGACGACGGGUAGCCGGCCUGAGAGGGUGUCCGGCCACACUGGGACUGAGAUACGGCCCAGACUCCUACGGGAGGCAGCAGUGGGGAAUAUUGCACAAUGGGCGCAAGCCUGAUGCAGCGACGCCGCGUGGGGGAUGACGGCCUUCGGGUUGUAAACCUCUUUCACCAUCGGCGAAGCCCAUAGCUUGUGUUGUGGGUGACGGUAGGUGGAGAAGAAGCACCGGCCAACUACGUGCCAGCAGCCGCGGUAAUACGUAGGGUGCGAGCGUUGUCCGGAAUUACUGGGCGUAAAGAGCUCGUAGGUGGUUUGUCGCGUUGUCCGUGAAAUUCCCUGGCUUAACUGGGGGCGUGCGGGCGAUACGGGCAGACUGGAGUACUGCAGGGGAGACUGGAAUUCCUGGUGUAGCGGUGGAAUGCGCAGAUAUCAGGAGGAACACCGGUGGCGAAGGCGGGUCUCUGGGCAGUAACUGACGCUGAGGAGCGAAAGCGUGGGGAGCGAACAGGAUUAGAUACCCUGGUAGUCCACGCCGUAAACGUUGGGCACUAGGUGUGGGGAUCUAUCGACGGUUUCCGUGCCGAAGCUAACGCAUUAAGUGCCCCGCCUGGGGAGUACGG